rnacentral:rRNA from 1 species
GAUGAACGCUCGCUACAGGCUUAACACAUGCAAGUCGCGGGGCAGCAUGGGGGUUGCUUGCAAUCCCCGAUGGCGACCGGCGCACGGGUGAGUAACGCGUAUCCAACCUGCCCUUCACCACGGGAUAACCCGGCGAAAGUCGGACUAAUACCGUAUGUUGUCCAUUGACGGCAUCCGAUUUGGACGAAAGGUUUGGCGGUGAAGGAUGGGGAUGCGUCCGAUUAGCUGGACGGCGGGGUGACGGCCCACCGUGGCGACGAUCGGUAGGGGUUCUGAGAGGAAGGUCCCCCACACUGGAACUGAGACACGGUCCAGACUCCUACGGGAGGCAGCAGUGAGGAAUAUUGGUCAAUGGGCGUAAGCCUGAACCAGCCAAGUAGCGUGCAGGAGGACGGCCCUAUGGGUGGUAAACUGCUUUUAUGCGGGGAUAAAGUGGCCCACGUGUGGGUUUUUGCAGGUACCGCAUGAAUAAGGACCGGCUAAUUCCGUG